rnacentral:misc_RNA from 1 species
GGCACGAAAUAAAAGAGGUUGCUAAUUUCCUGAAGCUUCUGUUCUCCUCCAUCUUCUUAUUCUUCUUCUUUUCCCCACCCCUAAGAAGUACGUUCUCCUUUGUUUUAUAUCUAGUUCUUCUUCAACAGGGAAAUACAUCUAAUGCCAUUUUGUUUUGUGCACAAUGUUGUUUUUUCAUCAUUGUCUAGAGAACUUAAUGUAUGUAAUUGUAUUUUAAUAGCAUGGAUCCUUUGACAACCUUAAGUCAGCUGGAACAUCAGUGCCGUCAGAACCAGGAUCAUCUAUUGGAGCAGCCAUUGCAGCCUCUGUGGCAAUUCCACCAGAUGCAGUACGUA